UACGUAGGGUGCAAGCGUUAAUCGGAAUUACUGGGCGUAAAGCGUGCGCAGGCGGUUUUGUAAGACUGAUGUGAAAUCCCCGGGCUCAACCUGGGAAUGGCAUUGGUGACUGCAAGGCUAGAGUUUGGCAGAGGGGGGUAGAAUUCCACGUGUAGCAGUGAAAUGCGUAGAUAUGUGGAGGAACACCGAUGGCGAAGGCAGCCCCCUGGGUCAAAACUGACGCUCAUGCACGAAAGCGUGGGGAGCAAACAGG
rnacentral:rRNA from 1 species